rnacentral:lncRNA from 1 species
UGGUGAUGGUCACACCACAGCCGUAGUGUGGCUGAGCCUCCGCUACAGCUACAACCUCCCUCUGGUGAGCUCCUCCCCGUUCCUUCUUCUCUGGUGUAGCUCCUGCAUGGCCUUGGCCAUGAUUUGGGUUGGAUGUGGGGCUCUACUAGUUGCUGCAACCAAGCAUCAACUCCUACUGGAGCUCUCUGGUGAUAAAUUCAUGCGGUUCUAGGGUCUGUCAGUAGCUGCCCAUGUGUACUUGCUUUAUAUAUGUGCUCCGGUGAUCAUGGUGGUGUUGAUGCUUAUCUUGCGUGUCUCUGGUGGUGGUGGUGUUGACAGCAGUUACACACCUAGCUUGUAACUAAUAUCCUUACUGCUAAUUUACCUCAAGUUUAUCUGAACAUGGUUGAAAUGAGCGCUGCAAAUUUUGAUGUCUAAAAUAAAUUUUUACCUCAAGUCAUUAAGUAAUUAUUUUCAUUACAACACAGUUAGCUGAUAAUAUUGACUUGAAUAUUUUAUGUAUGCUCUGAUGCAUGUACACAUACGGUUGAGCAAAUUCCGAGUUGCAGUGGAACAACCUGGAGUUAGAUAGGUUCAAUUUUCUUUUGUUCUAUUUCUAGUUUAAGCACAUGCAGGUUCUAGUAAGUGUCUAUGCAUGUAGCUCAUGAGUCGGAAUAUCUAAUCUAAUUAGGGACCACAGACCUGCUGUGUCAUGUGCAAACUUGCUUGCAUUCAGUUCAGAAAUUUCUGAAUUCUUUGAUGUUUGCUUUCACUCAAUGAUUGCGGUAGUCAAAUUAGAUGCCUCCUCUGCUGCAAUUCACUCGUCUCCCUGUCAUGGUUUGUCUUGAAUUUUGGUAGUGUGACAAACACAUUAGUAAAUUCUAGUUUUUGGGUGCUAAUUCUAGUUACUCUAUAUGAAGCAAAAGUUAUCUUGCAGCCAUCUAAUAUGCAAUUCUAAUAUAUUUCAUAUCCUGUUUUUUUAGUUGUAUAUGUCAUUCGUGCAUGAAUUCCUUUUCUUAUGUACCAGCUCCCUAAUCAUGUUUUUUGUUUUUUGGGUUGCUAUCUUAGGAGAGAACCUAGUGUCUUAUAUGGGGAAGCAAAGCAGCAGCUCACAACUCCGACCUGCAACUCCCGAUGAAGGCACAACGACGCACCAUGCUGCUCCUUUGGAAGGUCGGCUCCUGGACCGUAAGUUUCUCUUAAUUUGUGCUCUUCUUGAUACCAGCUCUCUGUAUUGUUGCUGCAUUCAUGGGUUGGUACUUAUCAUAUGCUCUUAAUCUGUUGUUAUAUUCUCACCAAAUGCAUGGGUUGGUACUUAUCAUUUGCCCUUUUACAAAUAUAUCGCAGUUUUGCUGUUAUGCGAAUGUUAUAUGCACGGUUUCUUAGUAGAUCUCAACUUCAGCAGCUGUUUUUCAUUGUUAGGAGAAUGUUAUAUGCACGGCUUCACUUGAUUUCCUAUCUUUUUUGAUUUAUAACCUGUAGAUACUGGCCUUCAUUCAUCAAAAGUUGGUGUACAAGAGCUCCAGGAGAAGAAUCCCGAAGAAAACCAGCACCCAACUAUGUGUUUUAGCUCCCUGGAGCUGGCCAUGUUAAUAUUAGGUGUAUUUUAUAGUUGAAUACCUGAUUUGUACUGCCAUGACUGUAAAGUACUUCGUUUGGCUGUCGUCUGAAAUUGUAUGUGUUAUUGCCUCUGUUUGAAUUAAGUUAUUGGUUAUUGCACAAAUAGUGAACUAACGUGGGGCGCCUAAACAACACCCUUGGUGUCCAAUUUCACUAGUGAGUCCUUUAAAAUGGGAAACAAACAAAAGAAAAACCGACAAGUGGGACCUAAUUGGAUGAUCUGCUAGUGGGACCUGGUUUAAAAUGGAAUGUAAAAAGGCCAAGGCCCAAACAAGAAAUGGAAGCGAAAAGGCCAAAGGCCUAGAAAAUAAAAGGCCGAAUUGCUGGGCUAGGCCAAUGUAGCUGACCAAAAUUAAAAG